CAGCCAUUUCAUUUUCAGAUAUAUUUUGAAGAAUUCUAGAUGGUCAGAGAAUCAAGGCUUUGAAGACUUGAUCAGCAAAUGAGUGGGAUUGCAACCAUUAGGAAAGGUUGAGGAUGUGCAAAUGAUAUUGCAAAAGGAAAACUCAAAUCAAAGAAGCAGUGACAAAUAGAGCCAAGGAGAUCAAGCAUUGGAUGUACAAGAAAGAACCUUCAGUGGAAGGAGAAAUUUAGUUUGGAUGACUUUAGCAGUAAAUGAGUAGGAUUGCAGCCGUUGGGAAAGGUUGACGACGCGCAAGUGGAAUAGCCAAAGAAAAGCAAGAAUUGAUGAGGCACAGAGGCCAUCCCCUUCACUCCAUCCCAUUUACCAAAGUGACUGAGGAGAAAUUGCUGAAUUCUGAUCUUGUUUACAGAUGGGUUGAGGAAUAGGAAGGGCUGGAGAUCCAGCAGUGGACGUGCAUGAAAGCACCCAGUGGGCUAGUGUCAAAGGUAAGAAAGAGGUUAUUUCCUGAACCAGAUGCAGUGAGGAAUAGACGGAUCCAGCAGUGGACAUAGAAGAAAGAGCCUCCAGUGGAAGGAGAGCUUUAGAAGAUAAGUCUGCAUAGUGUUCUCCGACUUCCCACUGUCAAAAGUUGCUUUUGUUUUGAUAAAAGAAACCAAGGCAGCAGUGAGGCUUUUCAGUUGAAAUAGUUUAAGCAAAUUAAAAAAGGACUUUGGCUGGCAGUAGUAACUAGUCAGAAGCUUAAUUUGGCUGGUGGGCAGUGGGUAAGAGCACUUUGUCUUGUUUUGGGGAUUUGUUUGCAAAAUGAAUGAAUGCAAAAGAUUAGAAUUGUCUUUGACAGGAAUUCCUGACGUGGGCUGCAGGAACAGACAAGGUAGUUUCCACUGACGGAUGAGAACACUAGGGUUGGAGAGGGUUGCAGCUGGAUGGCUUGUUUCUUGUUACACUGGUUUGGUAGACUUGGGCAGUAAAUGAGUAGAACAGCAGCCAUUGGGAAAGGUUGAAGAUGCACAAGUGGAAUAGCCAAAGAAAAGCUAGAAUCAAAGAGGCACAGAGGCCAUCCCCUUCACUCCAUCCCAUUUACCAAAGUGAUCGAGGGGAAGUUGCUGAAUUCUGAUCUUGUUUACAGAUGUGAUUUGGCAUAGACCCUGGGAAAGGGCUGGAGACCCAGCAAUGGACAUGCAAGAAAGCCUCCAGUGGAAGGAGAUGCUUAGAAGGUAAGCAUAUAAACCGUGAAAUGAUUUGAAAGAUGAUAAAUGUAAGAUGAACUUGGUCAUUUC
rnacentral:lncRNA from 1 species